GAACGGGUGAGUAACACGUGGGUGAUCUGCCCUGCACUUUGGGAUAAGCCUGGGAAACUGGGUCUAAUGCCGAAUAGGACCACGCGCUUCAUGGUGUGUGGUGGAAAGCUUUUGCGGUGUGGGAUGGGCCCGCGGCCUAUCAGCUUGUUGGUGGGGUAAUGGCCUACCAAGGCGACGACGGGUAGCCGGCCUGAGAGGGUGACCGGCCACACUGGGACUGAGAUACGGCCCAGACUCCUACGGGAGGCAGCAGUGGGGAAUAUUGCACAAUGGGCGCAAGCCUGAUGCAGCGACGCCGCGUGAGGGAUGACGGCCUUCGGGUUGUAAACCUCUUUCAAUAGGGACGAAGCGCAAGUGACGGUACCUAUAGAAGAAGCACCGGCCAACUACGUGCCAGCAGCCGCGGUAAUACGUAGGGUGCGAGCGUUGUCCGGAAUUACUGGGCGUAAAGAGCUCGUAGGUGGUUUGUCGCGUUGUUCGUGAAAACUCACAGCUUAACUGUGGGCGUGCGGGCGAUACGGGCAGACUAGAGUACUGCAGGGGAGACUGGAAUUCCUGGUGUAGCGGUGGAAUGCGCAGAUAUCAGGAGGAACACCGGUGGCGAAGGCGGGUCUCUGGGCAGUAACUGACGCUGAGGAGCGAAAGCGUGGGGAGCGAACAGGAUUAGAUACCCUGGUAGUCCACGCCGUANACGGUGGGUACUAGGUGUGGGUUCCUUCCUUGGGAUCCGUGCCGUAGCUAACGCAUUAAGUACCCCGCNNNGGGAGUACGGCCGNCAGGCUA
rnacentral:rRNA from 1 species